rnacentral:rRNA from 1 species
AACGAACGCUGGCGGCAUGCCUAACACGUGCAAGUCGAACGAGACCUUCGGGUCUAGUGGCGCACGGGUGCGUAACGCGUGGGAACCUGCCCUUAGGUUCGGAAUAACUCCCCGAAAGGGGUGCUAAUACCGGAUAAUGUCUUCGGACCAAAGAUUUAUCGCCUUUGGAUGGGCCCGCGUUGGAUUAGCUAGUUGGUAGGGUAAAAGCCUACCAAGGCGACGAUCCAUAGCUGGUCUGAGAGGAUGAUCAGCCACACUGGGACUGAGGCACGGCCCAGACUCCUACGGGAAGCAGCAGUGGGGAAUAUUGGACAAUGGGCGAAAGCCUGAUCCAGCAAUGCCGCGUGAGUGAUGAAGGCCUUAGGGUUGUAAAGCUCUUUUACCCGGGGUGAUAAUGACAGUACCGGGAGAAUAAGCUCCGGCUAACUCCGUG